GUAGUCAUAUGCUUGUCUCAAAGAUUAAGCCAUGCAUGUCUAAGUUCAAGCGAAAAUAAAGUGAAACCGCGAAUGGCUCAUUAUAUCAGUUAUGGUUCCUUAGAUCGUACUUACUACUUGGAUAACUGUGGUAAUUCUAGAGCUAAUACAUGCGUUGGGCUCCAACCCUCGUGGAAGGAGCGCUUUUAUUAGAUCAAAGCCAAUCGGGCCUUCGGGUCCGUCUUACUGGUGACUCUGAAUAACUUUGCUGAUCGCAUGGUCUCGCACCGGCGACGUAUCUUUCAAGUGUCUGCCUUAUCGACUGUCGAUGGUAGGUUAUGCGCCUACCAUGGUGGCAACGGGUAACGGGGAAU
rnacentral:rRNA from 1 species